rnacentral:misc_RNA from 1 species
AAAUCAUAAAUUUUUUGCUUUCAUCCAAAGAUAAGAUGCAAUUGGCUGAUGAUGAUAGACAUAUUUUUAGUGCGUUUUAGGUGCAUAUAGAUGCUACAGCAACCAAGCAAUGACUGAUAGUGGUCUUCGUUUUACAAGCUUGAGUAGUAUAUGUCUGUUUAUGAGAUUUACUUAUUGAGGGAACUGGCCUUGUGAAGUAUGCAUAUGUUAAGAAUAUAGUACAUAUGUCAAGAAAUAUAGUAUUCAAUACAGCUGGAAUGGAGAUUGAGAGAACCCAUCAUCAAUAAUAAUAAAAACGAAGUUGAACAUCAGACUCCAGCAUCAGAAUUAGACUCUUGAUUAUCCCAGUGGUUAUGUCUUCUAUCUUCUGUGGCACUGCUAGCACCAGCUCUCCAGUCCGUCAGGAGCUGACUCUCGUCAUCAGCUGGUUGAGCCCAAAUAAGAGAAAAGCAACUAGGAGAUCCUAAUAUACUGGUAAACAGUGAAGCUGUAGAUGUUUAAGUACUUCUGCAUUCCUCAUGCAUGCUCAUAUAACUCCUUUUAAAAGUCAAAGAAAUAAAGAGCCAAGCCAAGUAUUAAGGUGCUCAAAAUUGGUUCACUUAUUUUUUGUUCAAUAUAUAUUUUGUUUAUAUUUUUUAUAGGUUGUGGCAUACUCAGAUGGUCAUGUGAAGAUCUAUGAGCUCUUGGAUCCCUUGGAGUUGAAGAAUUGGCAGCUUCAGGCCGAAUUUCAGAAUACUAUUGAUUCAGUAUCUACAUUUGGGAGGGCGAAUUGCUUUUCUGCAUCUAUUUCUUGGAAUCCACGAAUGGGUGAAAACCAGGAAUUGAGCUUUGUUCUGGGUUUUAAUUCAGAUACACCACAACUGAACUCCUCAAAGGUAUGGGAGUUUGAUCAGGCUCAUCAACGAUGGCUUGCAGUUGCAGAGUUGGCUUUGCCUGCAGACAAAAGCGAUCAGGUUUUUGCUGUUGCGUGGGCACCCAACAUUGGCCGGCCAUAUGAGAUAGUGGCCGUUGCUACUCAUAAGGGAAUUGCAAUAUGGCAUCUAGGGUUGAACCCUGACCUGGAUGGAAGACUUUCACUGGAAAAAGUUGCCUCGCUCUCUGGUUUUGAAGGCGAGGUGUGGCAGAUGGAAUGGGACAUGAGUGGAAUGACUUUAGCAACCACAGGAACUGAUGGGAUGGUAAGACUCUGGCAGUCCAACCUGAAUGGCGUUUGGCAUGAGGAAGCUGCAUUUGAUUCCAGUUCUUAGACCUUCUGUGUCUAUAUAUAUUUCACUGGUUUUGGUGGCCAUUUUUCUCUGCUGCCAAAGGGAGAACAUAGUUUCAUUUGCUAUGGUGCCCCUGCUCUUUCUUCUCUGUUGUGAUUGGUAAUCAAAAUCUGUUGUACCGUGUAAUAUGUGUCAGAAAAGCGCCAUUCUGUUUGAAAGAAACAGUUUGGAACAAAAUUGUUUUGCUAGUUUGAUGUUUUUAUAAUUAAAAUAUAUUAAAUUAAAUUAUAAUGCAUUUUAAUUAACAUAUUUAAAG